ACGUCAGUUUUACUAUACACAGUGGCCGCCUUGAGCUGGUUAGUUUGUUGCUGGGAUGCGUAAGCGCGACGGCCAUCUUUAAUGUGGCGGCUUCGAUUUCCAUCCUCACUAAGGUCGUGUUUGGAGUCUAUCCCAGUUAUUAUUGGGCAAGAGGUGGUCAACCUCACAUUCACACUUGGGGACAACUUAGAAUUUUCAAUGAAUCUCAAAUGUACGUUUAUGGAAUGUGCAGGCAGAGUACCUGAAGAAACCCCACGCAGCACGCGGAGAACAAACACAAUCCACACAGGAGGUGUGGAGUGCGCAUGCUGAAGACCAGAAAUUAACACUGCAGUAUGGUAAACCGUUUGAGCAUGCAUUCAAUAUCUCUGAUGUCUACCUUAAGGUCAAUGUAUUAAUUACGCUGUCCGGCCUCACGAGCAGGACAUUUCAGUGCACCUACUACAACUUGGGUUCACGACUUGCAGUGUUUACAACCUUUAUUAAGCUAAGGUACAUAAUAUUCCCUUUGAAAAUUUCUCACAUUACACCACUGAACAAAAAUGUCACAAGUGGAUUCACCAAUGUAUUAUUUACCUUUUGUGAACCAGUGGAAGAGCAUUUAAUUGUUCUACCUGUCAUCAUACAUUGCGGAGAUAUUCACUAGAACUAACCGAGAACAAUUUUAAGUAACCUUGUUACUAGGACGUCAUUGUUCUACAAGCCCGCUGAUUUGUCUUACCAGUGAGCAUGUUACAUAUUUAUAAGACAUUUCACCAUGAUGGUACACAUACUUUGGAUGGCAACAACAGGAGCUUUCACUGACAGCAGCAAUGUCACAGUAAAAAUACCUUACAAGUCAUUUCACCAAGUCAGAGAUGAUGAAUUCAGUCUCAAUUAUCAGGCAGGCUUACUAUCACAUCCGUGCAAUUACACCCUCUGGGGUAGGCCUAUAUCUGGUGGUGAGACCUCAAGCCUAUAUCUGUCAUUCUUUAGUACACUUACAAGCACCAAAAGAAUGUCACCUUCAACAUGGCAGCGACGUUUACGUAUGAUUCUGCGCCACGGCGAAAUCUAUUUAACUUACGCUCUAUGUUUAGCGUUAGCCACUGAAAUGUCAGCUGACAUACUCCAGAGUGGAACUUUAAAGAUGGCUACGGCACAGAUUAACUGUAAGUGUCAACUUGUACUCUCAUUUAAUGAGCGUUGUCUUGAUGCUGCUGUCGAAUAAUAUCCUCGAGUUGCCACCGUGUCGAGUGAUUUAACGGACGCUUUUCAACCGACGGCUCCAUCUAUGGCUAACCAGGAACGAGUGUGUGAGCAGCGCGACGUGGACUCACAGAGGAGGUCUUGCAAGUGCACGCGCCCUGGCCUCUUCAAAGGGGGAGAAAAAAACUAACAAACACGCAUUUCAUUCAUUGGUUCUUCACCUAUUUGUUUUUGGGUCAACUGUAUUUCAGGCCGCAUGGAAAAUAAAGUUAUGUAUACCGACAGUGUUCCUAAAAUGCAAUUUCGUUUCCAUAAUAGCCUGUCAUAUCUGAACCUUUUUGGUAAACAAGAAAACACUACAGCAACAAUAACAAAUUAAGCACCGCCCUCCUACCAUCACCCCCCACCCAUUAAAAAAAUCCAGGGUUCUCGAUUCAGUCUUUGCUGAUUUCCCCGACCUGUAAGACUGAGAGAGACAUCAAGAAAAUACACAACUUUGAACAUUUGCGGUUUACGUUGCUAUUGUGACAGUCCGGUAAAAAUGACUUUGGCAAAAAUGCUAUGAGGCUAACAAUAUUGAAUGACUUGUGAAAUAAAAUCGUAACCACCAUAACUGUUCAUGAAUACGAAUUCAAAUUUGAUUAAAAAGCGUUUUUUUUUGAUGAGAUAUUGCGACGGGGCUUUUAAUUUCAGGACAACUGUCGUUAAAAACAUUUAGCAUCUUGUAAAAGCCUGUCUACCGGAAAACAUCAUAACCACAAUAACUGUUCACAGGUUCAAAUUAAAGUUAAAAAAAAAAACAUUGGACUACGAUAAAUAUCAACAAAAUAUUUUACUUACCAUUGAUUAUUCUUCGAUCAGACGGAAACCGACUGGCGCGAGACACACUUGGGACUCGAAGGGCCCUGAUUUGGUGAUUUAUCGGGGAAUGGGACCAGUUGAAAAUCCGAAAUUAUUCAUUCUAAAUCACUUUUCAAAUGACAUGGAUAACAUUAACCGAGUAGCACAAUUGCCAAAGUCAGUUUUUGAGCUUUUUUUUUUUUUUUUGAAAACAAGAAACAACACCUGUGAUUUUAUUUGGACGUGGCUGAGCAAGCAAGCAAGCGCGCACGCACAAUGAUCUUUUCUUUUCGUGUUGAUAUUGUGACCGUUAAAAAUGACACGAGCGGGAAUGCUAAAUGCUUAAGACGGAAGGUAAGUGGAAUUUAACCGAUUUUACAUAUGCGCAUGUCGGUUUAUUUUCAGUCCAAUUUGAUGUAUACCCAUGACCUAUUUGUGUUUAUUUUCAGACUGAAAAAUAUGUCCUUAUUGCAAGGAUGCAUAAAAUAAAUAUCUACAGUGAAAUACGUAUUCAUUCGCAUAGCGUCAAAGAAGGCAAGCCUCUGAUAUCAUAUUGUGGGUUGUACAAAA